rnacentral:rRNA from 2 species
UGGGGAAUAUUGCACAAUGGGCGAAAGCCUGAUGCAGCGACGCCGCGUGGAGGAUGAAGGCUUUCGGGUCGUAAACUCCUGUCUGGGGGGAUGAAUUUUUGACAGUACCCCCGGAGGAAGCCCCGGCUAACUACGUGCCAGCAGCCGCGGUAAUACGUAGGGGGCGAGCGUUGUCCGGAAUUACUGGGCGUAAAGCGCGCGCAGGUGGCUUGUUAAGUCAGGUGUCAAAAUGCGGAGCUCAACUCCGCAGCGCACUUGAAACUGGCAGGCUUGAGUGCAGGAGAGGAAAGUGGAAUUCCUAGUGUAGCGGUGAAAUGCGUAGAUAUUAGGAGGAACACCAGUGGCGAAGGCGACUUUCUGGACUGCAACUGACACUGAGGCGCGAAAGCUAGGGGAGCAAACAGG